rnacentral:sRNA from 1 species
UGGAUUGGGACCUCUUCAGAUCGCGGAUU